AUGGGGGACCUAAAUAAGAUACGUUACUUGCAUGAGAAGGAGGGAGGUAAUCCUAGGCCACAGCAAUAUAUGCAUGCGUUCAACCAGACAAUACAGGACUGCGAGCUAAGAGACCUUGGGUAUGUAGGAGAUCAAUUUACAUGGCUGAGGGGUAGAAUCAGAGAAAGACUAGACAGGGGACUAGGGAGUGAAGCUUGGUCUCAGCUUUUCCCCCAUGCUGCAGUGGAACAUUUGCAGUACAAUCACUCAGACAACAGACCACUUUUGUUGAACACUGAAUAUUAU
rnacentral:rRNA from 1 species